rnacentral:lncRNA from 10 species
CUGGAGAUAGCAUUAGAUCCCACAAGUUGCAGUCUCUGUCCCAUAAGACUGUCCCCGCUUCAGACACCAGUGGCAAGUCUCGGCCUCUGGAACUUCUGACCAACCGGCUUCAGGGAAUUGUUCUCUGCCAAAUGGGAGCCACCUUGCUCCAGAGACUAUGCUCUGCUCCACCUACAGACUUUGAUCUGUGACUGACGCUGAGCUACAAAAAGCCAGUGACUUACUGUCAACGUGGGAUGACUUGUGUGUGCUUCAGAGUUUUCAGGUGCGAUUAACUAAACUUAAUCUCUAGUUAAACCCCAUUCUUCAUCACUGCCCUGCUCCCCAGCCCUGUCCUGCUGCCUUUACUUCCUUUAACCUGAGAGAGCAUUACAAGAAACUACAUUCAUAAGGAUCUCUGUUCCAAGUUCUGCUUCUAGGGAGCCCGACCUAAAAUAGGAAGGGUCUCUUUAUAGAAAUAUUUCAGCUAAAAUCCCAAAAAGAGGAAAACAGAAAGAGUCUUUGCUUUCCCUUGGACAAACUUGAAUUGAAAUUGAACCCAAAUUCCAGGAUGCUUUUCUAGAAUUAGUUACCAUCUUAUAGGAACCACAGAGUAAAGAGAUAAUGUGUUAAUGACACCACUGAGAUCCAGACUGUAGGAAAAUACAGAACAAAUGACUAUUUCAUCAAUAAUUAAAGAAAAAAUUAAAAAAUGAAAACCCACAGAUUAAAAGAAAUUUAGGAAAUUUGGCAACCAAUCAAAAUGCGCAUAUCUUAUUUGUAUCUUGAUUCAAACAAACUGUUAAAAAAAACUAUAAUACAAUUGGGUAUUUGAACACAGAUUAGACAUAAAAUGAUAUUAAGGAAUUGUGAAUUAUUAAAUGUGACAACAGUAUUGUGGUUAUAUGCUAAAAAGAAGAAAACCCUUAUCUUGUAGAUACAUACUUUGAAAUAUUUAUGCCUAAAGUGAUAUUAUGUCUAGAAUUUGCUUCAGAAAUA